AGUUACAAUAAAAAUUUAGUGGAGAACGUGCUACCCCUUGUAUAACUCCUUUUUUUUUUUUAUUUACAAUUUUACCAACAACUUUAUUAUUUUGGAAAAUUAUAUUACCCACUAUUUUCCUUGCAGGUGCGGUCAAGUUGACCCAAAGAGAUUUCAGUUUGUGUUUUUCUGGCAAAGAUUUUAGUUUAUUUGUUCUCACACUUUAAGAGUGACUUUAAGACUUGUGCUUCAGAUUCAAUAUCAUGGAAGAGCUAGUUGCUGGGGCAUUUCUUUCUUCUACCUUUCAAUUCAUUUUUGAUAGGCUGGCUUCGAGUAAUUUGACAGACUAUUUUCGUAGAGGCAAACUUGACGAGUUGGUGGAAGAACUUGAGUCUACACUCGAUUCUAUCAACCAAGUGUUAGAUGAUGCAGAGAUAAAGUAGUACCAAAUCCCAAACGUCAAGAAGUGGCUUGGUCAUGUUAAACAUGCUAUGUAUGAGGCUGAUCAAUUACUGGAUGAGAUUGCUACUGAUGCGCCACUAAAGAAGUUGAAGGCCGAAUCUCAACCUUCUACUAGCCAUAAUAUUGUCAACUUCAAACCAACUUUUACUAAUCCAUUUGAAUCCAGGAUCAAAGAAUUGAUAAAGAGCCUACAUUCUCUUGUAGAGCAGAAGGAUACACUGCAAUUGAAAAAUCAAACGUAAGCCGGUAAUGCAGUUGGAUUCAAUUCGAAACCUCCAGGAAUAGAAGAAACUAUACAUGUUUGGUGGAUGCAUCUGGCAUAUAUGGUAGAGAUGGCGAUAGAGAAGAAAUGAUCAAAAUUUUACUUUCUUCAGAGAAUGGUAGCAACAACCAGACACCUAUAAUCAGCAUAGUUGGUUUGGGUGGGAUGGGCAAGACCACCUUAUUUGCUAAGCUUGUGUACAAUGACAACAUGUUAGAGGAGUAUUUUGAACUUAAAGCUUGGGUCUAUGUAUCAGAAUCUUUUGAUGUUGUUGGACUCACCAAAGAAAUUCUCAAGACAUUCAAUUCUUCAGCAGAGGGUGAAUCGAAUUUAAAUCUACUCCAACUGCAGCUGCAACAAACACUAACCGGCAAAAAGUAUCUGCUUGUUUUGGAUGAUAUUUGGAAUGGAAAUGAGGAGAGUUGGGAGCAGUUACUACUUCCCUUUAAGCAUGGAUCUUCUGAAAGUAAGAUUAUUGUGACAACACGUGACAAAGAGAUAACAUAUGUCCUGAAAUCCACCAAGUUAUUUAAUUUACAACAAUUGAACAAAAGUGUUUGCUGGAGUUUAUUUGUGACACAUGCGUUUGAUGGCAAGAAUUUGGACGAAUAUCCACAUCUUGAACAAAUUGGCAAGAAAAUAGUCGCUAAGUGUGGAGGAUUGCCUUUAGGUGUAAAAACAUUGGGCCAACUCUUGCGAAGAAAAUUCUCUCAAUAUGACUGGAUGAAGAUAUUAGAGACUGAUAUAUGGCGAUUAUCAGAUGGGGACAACAACAUUAAUCCUGUGCUGAGAUUGAGUUAUCAUAAUCUCCCUUCCAAUCAGAAGCGUUGUUUUGCUUAAUGUUCUAUAUUUCCCAAAGGUUAUGGCUUUGACAAAGGUAGAUUAAUCAAGUUUUGGAUGGCAGAAGGUUUGCUGAAGUGUAGGGGAGCAGACAAAAACGAAGAAGAGUUGGGUAAUGAAAUUUGCAGCGAUCUUGAGUCAAUUUCAUUUUUCCAAAAAUCAUUGUAUAUAUGGUGAUACAUUUGUCAUGCAUGAUCUUGUCAAUGAUUUAGCAAAAUCAGUGUCAGGAGGAGAAUUCUGUAUGCAAAUAGACGGGAGAGGUGGAAGGUAUCUCUGAAAGAACACGUCACAUUUGGUUGUCUCUUCAAUUAAAUUGUGGUGAUAAAUUACUAGAGCCAGUUUUUGAGUGUAAGGGACUACGUAGUCUGAUACUAAAAUACCACACGGCUACGUUGAUAAGCAACAAUGUGCAACGUGAUCUAUUUUCAAGACUAACAUGUUUGCGGAUGUUAUCAUUUAAAUAUUGUUAUCUAUCAGAGCUAGUUGAUGAGAUAGGCAAUUUAAAACUUCUGCGUUACCUAGACCUUUCUCGCACACAGAUUAAAAGCUUACCUGAUACCAUUUGUAUGUUGUAUAAUUUGCAAACACUCUUGUCGGAAGGGUGCACAAUGAUGACUGAUCUCCCAUCAAAUUUUUCCAAACUCAUUAAUUUACGUCAUCUUCAACUCCCUUCUAAUGGUUUUGGUGUCCCUUAUAUAAGAAAGAUGUCAAAGAAUAUAGGAAAGUUGAACAAACUUCAGUCCUUGUCUUACUUUAUUGUGGAAGAGCAGAACGGAUCUGUUCUUAAGGAGUUGGAGAAAAUAAACCAUCUUCAUGGAAGAAUUCGUAUUGAAGGACUUGGUAAUGCCAUUGAUCCUCCAGAUGCUGCGAUGGCCAAUUUCAAAGAUAAGAAGUAUUUAGAAGAAUUACAUUUGAAUUUCUGUAAGAUCGGAAGAGAAGAAAUGAAUGACUCAAUUGUUGAAAGACAUGUAUCUGUCUUGGAGGCUCUUCAUCCAAAUAGCAACUUGAAGAGGCUCACCAUUGUAAACUACAAUGGUAAUUCUUUUCCAAAUUGGCUAAGGGGUUGUCAUUUACCCAACUUGGUAUCUCUUAAUCUGCAGAAUUGUGGAUUAUGUUCUCAUUUGCCGCCACUUGGUCAAUCUCAAUAAAGUUGUUGUUGAAAAGGAUAAAGAAAUGUUGCAUAUAUGAUGGAAGAAACCAGCUGCAGGGUGGAUUAAAUUAAAUACAGAUGACUUGCUUCGAUGAUGGGAAAAUAGGAUGUGGGGGUGUGUUGAGAUGUAGUGAUGGUGAAUGAUUGGAUUUUUUUAAUUUAUUGGUUUAGGAAAUGCUUAUCUAGCGGAGCUGUGGAGAGUUCUUGAAUUGUAUAAUUGUUCAAAGCUAAGAAUAAUGAAUUACAAGGGUCACGUCCCUCAUGUGUAUGGUUUGUGACGGAGAGCCCCAGGCAAGUACAAAUGUGUUAAUUUUCUCUUAGUAUUGUCCAGAGCUUUCCAGAGGAGGGUUGUUGGCAUACAAUGCACCAUAUCCCUUGUGAAGAGAUUCAGUAUAUUGAGCAGCAGAUAUGAGAUGUUUAUGCAGACAAGUGAACCACACUCAUCUUUUUAUAUUCUCUCAAACAUUGACCAACUUUCUUUUAUUUGACAAAGCCAUGAAUUUGAUAUAUGUUCUCAAAUGCAUUUCUGAUAUCUUCUUUACAGGAGACUUGAAACCAUACUUUCAUUGUCGUCACUAAUAAAAAAGAAAUAGUCAGUCUCAUUGCCGUCCGCUGCUCUUGUCCAACUUGAAGGAUCUGACUGUGUACUGUGACCACGACAUACCCUUGCCACUGCCAAUGCCAUGAAGCACAUGCAGGAUUAUGUUGCAGGUCCCUCAUUUGAAUAGGGUGCUGAUAUAAAAAGGUAGAAGAAUAGGAGGGAAAUCUCAGUUAAAAGAGUGCAAAGAACAAGAAAUGAGUCAAAUGAGUCAGCUAUUGUUGAGUAUGGCUCAUAAUCAAUGUUAAGUGGGUAGCGUCAAUAGAGCGGAACAAGAGAGACUUGUCCUUGGACCAAGCGCAACAUUUGUUGUGGACUGGUGACUGACUGGGGGUUUGGUUUAGGGAUGAUGUUGUAGUCAGGACUGUAGUGUUUAAAUACAAGUUGUGCAUUGUAAACUUCAAUUUUUCACUGAUAAUACAAAGGAGUCGGAGAUGUAGGCUA